rnacentral:lncRNA from 1 species
GCUUGUGGUUGCUAUGGCCGGGCUGACCUCAAUCUCUGUGGUUUGAGGGACUUAAGCAGUCAUUUUUUUUUCUCUUUUCUUUUCUUCCUUCCUUUCUUCUUCUUCUUUUUUUUUUUUAAUUGAAGAGCAUGUACCUUGAUUUAUGUCCAAAACUGUAGCUGAAUGUCUUUGUCCGCGGGUGAUAUAUGGUGCAGAACGAUUCAUCUGUUCUUACGAGUAAACACCGCUGUCCCACUAAAAAUAUGUUUUGUUCGGAGUUAAUGGUAUGGAACAAGGCAUUCUCCACAAACAGCUAUCUUUUAUUGUGUUGGGGCCGCGGAAACGCUGAGCAAAGUGCAGGAAAUUGGCAUCAGUCCUCGCGUCUAUUAGCAUUUCAUUUGUGAGUCGCAUGAUAAGACGCAUGGACUAUCCUCAGGAAAAUGAGAUCCAGGAAGAGUGACGCCCUCCUCGAACUGAAAGCUCCUCAGGCUGAUGGAGUCAGGGAGGAAGUGGUUUAUCAACAGCACAGGAUAUCUGAAGGGAACAGAACGUAUCCAGACAUGCCCCAGAUUGUCUACCCAUGGGGACUGAGAUACCUCUGAGAUUUACAUCAGAAAGGAAGGAGAGGCUGUUUCUACAGGUGCCACAGAAAAAUCGAUGCAGAGCCACCGAUUAUUGGAUCCCAUAGAACUGUGGAGACUUGGCAGUGAAAUUCUUCCAAAGCACUCUGUCUGCGCAGGCAGAGGUGUUCCUGGUUUGGGAAGUAUAAAUCCCGUGGGAAGCCAACUGGAGGACAUUUUAUGCAU